rnacentral:piRNA from 2 species
CGCAAACCCAAAUCGACAAUGCACG